rnacentral:rRNA from 1 species
AGCGAACGCUGGCGGCAGGCCUAACACAUGCAAGUCGAACGGAUCCUUCGGGAUUAGUGGCGGACGGGUGAGUAACACGUGGGAACGUGCCCUUUGGUUCGGAACAACUCAGGGAAACUUGAGCUAAUACCGGAUGUGCCCUUCGGGGGAAAGAUUUAUCGCCUUUGGAGCAGCCCGCGUUGGAUUAGGUAGUUGGUGAGGUAAAGGCUCACCAAGCCGACGGUCCAUAGCUGGUCUGAGAGGAUGACCAGCCACACUGGGACUGAGACACGGCCCAGACUCCUACGGGAGGCAGCAGUAGGGAAUCUUGCGCAAUGGGCGAAAGCCUGACGCAGCCAUGCCGCGUGUAUGAUGAAGGCCUUAGGAUUGUAAAAUACUUUCACCGGGGAAGAUAAUGACGGUACCCGGAGAAGAAGCCCCGGCUAACUUCGUGCCAGCAGCCGCCGUAA